CUGAUGAAUGUAAUGAUGCUACUAAAUUUUUAAAGAAUUGUUUAAUUGUAGGUGAUCCUGUUGUUGGCCAGAUAAUUCCAAGCUUAAGCAUUUCUGGAAACUCAACUUGAAGAUAAUUGACGUCCUAUAGGAUUGCCCCCAGCAUGAAUUCAUCAGCUGGAUGGUCCAUUCUCAGCUGUGCUAUCAGCAAGUCGGCAUCAUGCCUUCUGUUCGUGUAGUGGCGCGUUUCCUUGUUUGGGAGCUACUGCGCUCACCUGGGAAUUCAACUCUGAUCCUAAGUUUCCCAGCGACACCUUAUCCGACUCAUCCACCCGCUUAGUCCUACUUAACAUAAUGGAUAAACACAAUACCAGAGGUGUUGCUGAGCUUCGUCGACGGUCUCUACUGAAAUAGUCGGCACGAUGAUCUCGCUGUAGAACUCGGCGUUACGAACUUUGUACUUGAAAUUGGAAUAGGAAUGCGCUCGAAGCCGAGACCCCCGACUCGAUCCAACCGUGUCGACAAUAGAUCUGCCUGCUACUGCUGCCAUUUUAUUUGUCGAGAAACUCGUUUCAUUCACGUCGUUCAGAGACAACUCGCGGAAGGUCCUCAGCAUCCGGCCAUUGCGGCGUUUGCCAUUAGUGUGGCCGACAUUGGAAGGGGUGACGCUUUGCGAAGAAGAAAAUCGAGUGCAAG